UAAGUAUCCCGCCUGGGGAGUACGCUCGCAAGGCUAAUACUCAAAGGAAUUGACGGGGGCCCGCACAAGCAGCGGAGCGUGUGGUUUAAUUCGAUGCAACGCGAAGAACCUUACCAGGGCUUGACAUGUAGGUAGUAGUGAAGCGAAAGCGGAACGAUCCUUCGGGAAGCCUACACAGGUGCUGCAUGGCUGUCGUCAGCUCGUGCCGUGAGGUGUUAGGUUAAGUCCUGUAACGAGCGCAACCCCUGCCGUUAGUUACAAGUGUCUAACGGGACUGCCCGGCAAAACUGGGACCCAGGUGGGCAUGACGUCAAGUCAGCAUGGCCUUUAUGUCAUGGGCUACACACACGCUACAAUGGCCGGUACAAUGGGUUGCCAAGCCGCGAGNCGGAGCCAAUCCUCUAAAGCCGGUCUCAGUUCGGAUUGUAGGCUGCAACCCGCAUGCAUGAAGUUGGAGUUGCUAGUAACCGCAGGUCAGCCACACUCCGGUGAUACGUUCCCGGGCAUUGACACACCGCCCGUCACGUCAUGGAAGCUGGU
rnacentral:rRNA from 1 species